GAUGAACGCUGGCGGCGUGCCUAAUACAUGCAAGUCGAGCGAAUGGAUUAAGAGCUUGCUCUUAUGAAGUUAGCGGCGGACAGGUGAGUAACACGUGGGUAACCUGCCCAUAAGACUGGGAUAACUCCGGGAAACCGGGGCUAAUACCGGAUAAUAUUUUGAACUGCAUGGUUCAAAAUUGAAAGGCGGCUUCGGCUGUCACUUAUGGACGGACCCGCGUCGCAUUAGCUAGUUGGUGAGGUAACGGCUCACCAAGGCAACGAUGCGUAGCCGACCUGAGAGGGUGAUCGGCCACACUGGGACUGAGACACGGCCCAGACUCCUACGGGAGGCAGCAGUAGGGAAUCUUCCGCAAUGGACGAAAGUCUGACGGAGCAACGCCGCGUGAGUGAUGAAGGCUUUCGGGUCGUAAAACUCUGUUGUUAGGGAAGAACAAGUGCUAGUUGAAUAAGCUGGCACCUUGACGGUACCUAACCAGAAAGCCACGGCUAACUACGUGCCAGCCGCCGCGGUAA
rnacentral:rRNA from 1 species